CAACCAGCAGCUCCCUUGGUAGGGGCAUGCAGAAGACCUGAUGACACAAACCCUCCAAAGAGUUUCACCCUCACCACAACAGGUGGCUUCCUGCUCGGCAGCCCAUCCUGCAUCACUUCAGUGGACUUCUCUGACAUCUACUAGACCACAUUAAAUGAAUCACAGCCUUGAAACUGAACUGGAAGGACUUCCUUCAAGGAGCCAGCAUAUGAACUUGCUGCCUAUCUUUAGCAAGGAGAUGCAAAUGACAUCCACAAACCUCUUCUGCUGUAUACCUGGAUGAAAGCAAGGCUAGCUGUGUGUCCUAUGGCACCAAGGACUGAAAGAUUGUAAGAAGUAAGAGGGAAAGUGAUCCAAAAAGGUGGAACACCUAAUGUACAGCCCCAAGGAAGGAGCAUACUUGGAGAAUUCAAGGAACAGAAAGAAAAACAGGAAGGCUGGAGUGAAACUGAUUAAAUAAAGCAUCGUAACAUUAGAGGUCCAUCAUAGAGGCCAAGCCAAAUACAACUAUGUUUUCAAGCAUAAGAUGGAUAGAUGUGGUAAACCACAAGAAGCAAACAGCCCUUUAGAGGUGUGGAUUGACCUUGCAGAGUUACAAGUGGAGCCAGGAGAAAUCAUGUUGAGUGGGACUUCUCAUCCUACCUAAGAGAGACUAACAGAUGGAAAGCUGGGUACAGAAGGGAGAGAAGGCAGUAACAGUCAGAUUUCAAUACGCUGAGACUGUGACGUGGGACUUUUGAGUGAGUAACAUCUGCUCCUAGAACUGAGUUGAGUGGGGAUCCUCCCACACCACCCAGGCAAGAGAACUAACAAUUGAUGACUGCUCCAAAUCAGUCGCCAGUCUACCUAAUACUUCUACCUGGUAGGUAGCCUGAUACCCACUAACAUCAGCUUUGCCAGAAGUGCUCUUCCUCUCUGUCCAGUGGGCAAGCACCAAUUCAUUUUCAAACUCUCCACUGAAGCAUCAAUUUUCUGUAAUGCCUUUCUUGACCUCAGAGAUACCUGCAGAAGCACUUAGAGAAUUUCUUCUCUGAUCUUUGCUUUAGAAUACUGUGGUAACAAGUGAAGCAAGGAAAGAAAGUGAUAUGGCAAAAGAUGAAAUAAAAUUGGCAGCAUGUUGAAAUCUUCUGACAUUGUGUGGUGGGUUCAUGGGUUCAUUUGUAC
rnacentral:lncRNA from 1 species